UUAAGCCUGGUUUAACAGCCACAUGAAAGCCACAGUCCAGUCUUCAUCAUCAGUCAGCUCCACACUCUCACAGAAAUCUCCUCUCACUGCUAACAAAUAUUUACUCUUUUCCUGAUGCUACCAUUCUUUUGACACUGAUCUUUUUAACUUUCUACCCCUAGGUAAAAUAGAAAUUGAUAGAGAAGUUAGUUUUCUGUCUGAAUUAUGUUUAUCUGUUCCAUAGAAGAAAAACUUAAACUAACAGCAGCAUAUUUUGUCCCCAAAGGCCUUGCACUGCCCUUUAUGUUGUUUAUAAACCUUCUGCAGAACAAAAUAGCCCUCAUUCAAAUUUUCCUCUCAUGCAUGAGACUUCUGAUUAUUUCUAUCCUCCUUUUCAGUAUUCUCUCCCACUGGUCCAAGCUUUUCUGCACAAAAAGAUAAACUAUGCAUCAUGACUGGAAUUACACUGCCCUCUUCUCCUCUCAGGAACGCAAAAACAAGAUGAAACGGAGGGCUUGAUCUCUUGUGGUGUUAAAAAUCCUCUGGCAUUUUUUGGAAUCAAAGAACUGAUGGAAAAUCAGAUAAUUAAAAUUGUCUGCUUAGAAUCCCUAUUUAGAGACUUCAAAUGGGAAACUUGACCUUAUGAUGAUUUUUUAUACUGUGGACUAUUUUUGGAUCAUCACUGUCAUGGAACGAAAGGAGAGAAAAAGAAUUCUGGCAUGCUUCUUCUGGUAUGUUUCUAGAAACUGAUAUUCUCCCUCCCUUAUUUUCCUACCCAUAUGCAACGAUUGCUGUAUUCACUGCUGAACUGGAAGAAUCUUCUCUGAGGAUGAAGAGAGAGUUCCUUCAAGACUGUGUUCCUCGUGGCUGAGGUCCUUGGAUUUGAUUGCAAGCUGUUGACUUGCAAGCUUACAGCUGUCCUGGCCUGGAUAUAGUUAUAAGGAAAGCUGUGUACAAAAUGCCAAAUUGUAACCUGACACUGACUGAAAAGAAAACAUGAAGAAAUAGGUCCCUGAGAAGGUCUUGUGAGUUACUGAAGCCAGGAAUGAAAGCUGGACUCCAGCAACUUUAUCAAGAAAUUAAGAGGUGCUGCAGGAACUCUACUCCUAUCCUGGCUACAAUGUUGCCACUAGAUGCACCUGAGGGGAGCAACCAGGUGUACCAGGUUCCCUCUACCACCAAGGAAGGAGCCAGACACCUCCCAGGAUGAUUCAGAACAGAGGUGGAUUGAAUUACUCCAUGGACCUGCCUGUCUCUCCAUUUACUACAGAAGACAUCCGGUGAGACUGGACUCCUAACUUGAGAACCUCUCCUCAUUGCCUAAAUUUGGUUGUAUGAAUCUACCUCUGCAUGUCGCUGCAGAUGAACAUUCAAAUAGAUUGCAACACGCCACUGCCUUUCACAGCUCCUUUUGUUCUUCUCCUUGUUUACCUCUCUCUUAUCAUAGAGCAAUUGUGGUUUCCGCAUAUUGAAUUUUUCAAAGUAAAAAUCCAACACACAAA